AUUGAACGCUGGCGGCAGGCCUAACACAUGCAAGUCGCGCGGAGCGGCGGACGGGUGUGUAAUGCCUAGGACUCUGCCUGGUCGUGGGGGAUAACGUCCGGAAAUGGGCGCUAAUACCGCAUUCUAUCAGAUGCGCCUAGGUCUGAUUAGCUAGUUGGUGGGGUAAAGGACUACCAAGGCGACGAUCCGUAACUGGUCUGAGAGGAUGAUCAGUCACGCUGGAACUGAGACACGGUCCAGACUCCUACGGGAGGCAGCAGGGGGGAAUAUUGCACAAUGGGCGAAAGCCUGAUGCAGCCAUGCCGAGUGUGUGAAGAAGGUCUUCGGAUUGUAAAGCACUUUAAGUUGGGAGGCGUUACCAUCAGAAUAAGGACCGGCUAACUUCGUGCCAGCAGCCGCGGUAAUUC
rnacentral:rRNA from 1 species